GAUGAACGCUGGCGGCGUGCCUAAUACAUGCAAGUCGAGCGAACAGACGAGGCGCUUGCUCCUCUGACGUUAGCGGCGGACGGGUGAGUCACACGUGGAUAACCUCCCUAUAUGACUGGGAUCAUUUCGUGACACCGGAGAUUAUCGCGGAUAAUAUCUUGAACCGCAUUGUUCAAUAGUGAAAUUCGGUUUUGCUGUCUCUUCUCGCUGGUUCCGCGCGGCAUUAGCUAGUUGGUAAGGUCACGGCCUACCAAGGCGACGAUGCGUGGACGACCUGAGAGGGUGGUCGGCGACACUGGAACUGAGACACGGUCCAGACUCCUACGGUAGGCAGCAGUAGGGAAUCUUCCGCAGUGGGCGAAAGCCUGACGGAGCAACGCGGCGUGAGUGAUGAAGGUCUUCGGAUCGUAAAACUCUGUUAUUAGGGAAGAACAAAUGUGUAAGUAACUAUGCACGGAUUGACGGUACCUAAUCAGAAAGCCACGGCUAACUACGUG
rnacentral:rRNA from 1 species